rnacentral:rRNA from 1 species
AACGAACGCUGGCGGCAGGCCUAACACAUGCAAGUCGAGCGAGGACUUCGGUCCUAGCGGCGGACGGGUGAGUAACGCGUGGGAACGUGCCCUUUGCUUCGGAAUAGCCCUGGGAAACUGGGAGUAAUACCGGAUGAGCCCUUUGGGGGAAAGAUUUAUCGGCGAAGGAUCGGCCCGCGUUGGAUUAGGUAGUUGGUGGGGUAAUGGCCUACCAAGCCGACGAUCCAUAGCUGGUUUGAGAGGAUGAUCAGCCACACUGGGACUGAGACACGGCCCAGACUCCUACGGGAGGCAGCAGUGGGGAAUCUUAGACAAUGGGGGAAACCCUGAUCUAGCCAUGCCGCGUGAGCGAUGAAGGCCUUAGGGUUGUAAAGCUCCUUCAGCUGGGAAGAUAAUGACGGUACCAGCAGAAGAAGCCCCGGCUAACUCCGUG